CGCUCUGCUACUUCGUACUUGCGUGGUUUUGAGGAAUCAUUUGGCCUCUUUUCAGGUUUUAGAUCCUUCACCUGUAAAAUGAGGAUGGUUGUGAGAAAGGGAAAUUGCUCUGUAAACAGUGAAGCACUAUUCAAAUGCUCAGGCUUUGUAAAAAAUUGAUGGAAAAUGUCAUAAGAAGUGGGCAGUUCUGGUUUGCUUCCAUUGCUAUAGGAAGCUGGCACACACAAGAAAGUUUAUUGACAGCAGCUGAGAUGUGCUGAAGCUGGUAAUUAUCUUCAAGACAGGCUGAGUUUUGAUUAACCUCCCACCGGCAUCCUUAGCCUGAUCUGGCCCCUCCACUGGCCUCUGAGUGUGGAGUGAGACAGAGCUGAAAUGGAGAAGCCGGGCUUGGCUGGAAGCGAGGAGGGUGGAAGUGAAGUCCGUCACCGCUGGUGGGAGUGUCGGCCACAACAGUAUGUCCCCUCCUGCAUAGCUUCCUGAACUGUGACCUUGCCACUCUUCCAUCACGAGGUGGUGUCUGUUUCACCACCUCCUGAAGCUGGGCAGGCCCUGGAAGUGAUGCUGUGCUACUCCCAGGCAGAGCCUUUCAUGGGCCCGGUGGCUUUGCUUUCUGCCUCUUGGAAGCCGGCUACAAUGAAGGAAGUUUGUCUAUAUCCUGAGACCACUAUGCUGUGAGCAGCCCGUGAACCCACCGGAGAGGUCUUGCAGGAGGAAAUGGCCCAUGGAGAGAGAGAGAAGCCAAGGAUCACAAGGCACCAGACCCAGAACUUUUAAUAUUACAGAAUUUUAACAAUUUCUCUGAUUCUAUACUGUAUCUCUCCUAUGCUUAAAGUCUAGAAUCCCAAUGGCAUUCAUUAACAUAAUCACUGAUCUUACAAUAUAUAUACAAUAAAUUUAUAUACGAUAAA